rnacentral:SRP_RNA from 1 species
GCCAGGGGUGGUGGCUCACUCCUGUAAUCCCAGCAUUUUGGGAGGCUGAGGUAGGAGGAUCACUCGAGCCCGGGAGGUUGAGGCUGCAGUGUGCCAAGAUCAUGCCACCGCACUCUAGACUGGGCAACAGAGUGAGACCCUGUCUCAA